AUAGAUCAACAGUGACUGGGCAUUCUGUGAGCAGAUGAUCUCUUGUUACAGGUUGGAUUUGGCAUAGAGUACAUUGUUGAUAAAUUCCCAAUCCCCAGCUAUGUAGUCUAUCCUUUGUUGGUAGUCUGUCCUGUAGGAAUAGCCACAGGUUGAACACUGCUUUUGGUCUGGCUUGGUUUUGUAUGAUUAAGUUCUUCCAUGGGACUGUUGGCACUUCUUGCAACUGCGACUGGUAUAACUGUUUAGUAUUGCAUUUCUGAUGUUUCCAGUUCCGGAUCCUUUGUAGAGUGUCCCUGGAUUGGAUGAUCUUCUUAACCAUCUAGCUAGCUUGGGUAGGGAUUGGCAUGGAUUCUAUUGGCAUAUCUUUGAUAUAAUACACUGUGAUCCAUCUUAUCCACAUCUUAUCCUUCUUAUGUG
rnacentral:lncRNA from 1 species